rnacentral:rRNA from 1 species
AAUAGAUACCCCGGUAGUCCACGCCGUAAACGAUGAGUGCUAAGUGUUAGAGGGUUUCCGCCCUUUAGUGCUGCAGCUAACGCAUUAAGCACUCCGCCUGGGGAGUACGGCCGCAAGGCUGAAACUCAAAGGGAUUGACGGGGGCCCGCACAAGCGGUGGAGCAUGUGGUUUAAUUCGAAGCAACGCGAAGAACCUUACCAGGUCUUGACAUCCUCUGCCAACCCUAGAGAUAGGGCGUUCCCCUUCGGGGGACAGAGUGACAGGUGGUGCAUGGUUGUCGUCAGCUCGUGUCGUGAGAUGUUGGGUUAAGUCCCGCAACGAGCGCAACCCUUGAUCUUAGUUGCCAGCAUUCAGUUGGGCACUCUAAGGUGACUGCCGGUGACAAACCGGAGGAAGGUGGGGAUGACGUCAAAUCAUCAUGCCCCUUAUGACCUGGGCUACACACGUGCUACAAUGGAUGGUACAAAGAGCUGCGAACCCGCGAGGGUAAGCGAAUCUCAUAAAGCCAUUCUCAGUUCGGAUUGUAGG